GCACCAAAGAAAGCAAAUAAGAUUUUGAAACAAUGUUGCAUUACUACUAGAGUAUCAAAGUACAUUUAAAUACAUGGUACUUAAAAAAGUAAGUACAAAAAAAACAGAAUUUUUUUUCAUUUCUGCGUUUACUGUUUUGUAAAAAUGGCUUUUGGCUGGUCAACCCUUUAAGUCCCGGAUGUUUCACCUUACGGACGAAUGCGUUGGACAUUCGCCUCUGGUACUCAAAGGAUUUUAUAUUUUCUCCAGCUCACAAGUGAAUUUCAGGACAUCCUGAAAGCUUUCAUGAAAUGUUAAAUAAAAGUAAUGACAUUCAAUUUUAGGAUCAGUAAACAAAUUACACUAAACAUUUAUACUGCUUUCUUUUUUUUUUUUUCUUAAAAACCCUGUUAGUUAAAAAUGUUGUGCCAUAUUAACACUAAAAACAUAUUUUCAUAUUAUAGCACUUUACAUUGUAUAUAAUAGGCAUUAAAAGAACAUACAUUGCUAAUAAUACACGUGUAUAAAUAUAGCUAAUUGUAUAUAUAGAUAUAUUUAUACAAACAACAUUUUAGUGCAAGAAUAACAAGACCAGGGCUGUGACUAUACUGUGCUUUAUUAAAAUCACAGCACACUUCACACAGAAUGCUACUCUAAAGAUGUUUUUCCAUUUGCCGUUUAAGUGCAUACCAAAUAACUAAGUGAACAUGGAAAUAAAUAGGAAAGGGGCUGUGAAUAGAUAAUGUCAUGUUCCUGAAGUCUAGUAAAUGUUUGCAUUGAACAUCUCCGUGAAACAUGUUUUAAUGUAAUGCUAAAUAAAUAUUACUUGCUUUUUUUUCUCUACAUUUGCCAGAUCGUUGGCAUUGCCCUCUAAACAGUUAUUAGCUAGAAAAAUAGAAAGUGAUGUCUGACAUUAUUUGUACUUAGUGAAUAGGGAAAAUGAGCAGCUACAAUGGAUAAAAUGCAUUAAAAUUGUUACCAAGAAGCAGAUACAUAACUUAGACUUAGGUGAUUAAAGCAUAAAAAGGCCAAAGCCUUAUACAGUACACUAAUAUCACACUAUAUUCUUAAACUAUAUUCUUUCUAUAAGAACCCAGUUCCGUUUUUUUGUUCUUUUUUUAUGAAGAGCGAUUGCUUCAAUCAAGUGAUAAAGGGCAAUAUAUAUAAUAUGAAAAAAACAACAAAAUAACAUUUCUUUCUUCAAACUACUGUAAAGUGUUCUUGUAUCUAUUAACAAUUUAAGGGAGACAUAUUAAUAUCUUGAUAUACAAACAUACUACUUUUUGGUUUUGUAAUAUAUUGAAUCUAUAAACACAAUACAAGUCUCACCAAUUGGAUUGAGCCUUUAUAACAGUCAUAUAUCCAGAUAUAAAAGGUUAAAUACUUUGAUGGAUUUUAAUUUGUAAUUACAUUUCAGAUGGUUGGGAGUCACAGUUCUCCAUCCUAAGCAAUUCUUAUGAAUGUUUUACUUUUUCUGAAUGUUAAAGCUGAAAAUGUUUUACUUAAUUAUUUUUUUACUUAAUUAGUUUUACAUUUUUACAUUUAUCCCCUUUAUUGCAGAAUAUAUCUGCUCACACUCCAGCUGACUGGUAUAGCAUGUAAAUUACACAAACUUUAAUUUCAGCUACAAAUAUAUAUGAUAUAUGUUAUAGUUAACAUUAGUUAAAGUAAUUAUUCAUAUAUAUAUCUGAUCUCAGCAAAAGAGCGAGAAGCUUAAAUAGCAUUCCCUGCUUUUUCCUGAAUGUAUUGCUUUGAAAUACCUCCAUUGCGGCUUGUGUGAAUAAAAGCAUUUUCACUUUCUCAUACAUCGACUUUUAAAACCACUUGCAGCUAAUACAUUAAAACAUUUGGAGUGUUGACCUCAAGCUCCCAGAUUGUACAGCGAUGAAAAAUAACUUGGCUCUUUACAAAUAAAGUAUAAUGAAAUUAUUUAGCAACAUAAAGAAAAAUGAAAAGCUAAAAUAAAAGUGGAUUUUAUUUGGCCUAUAUUUUUCUAUAUUUACCAUACAAAUGUUAGACAUGUUUCAUUCUUUGACAUGUUUUCACCCCAAAUCUCCUGCAUUGAGCUGAAAUUUUGACUUACACACUUUUAGGGAAAAACUAAAUAUUUAGAAAAGUAUUUUAUUUGUUUUAAUUAAGGAAAUCUUAUUAAAAAAUAACAGCUUGAAGCAUGUCAGUCAGUGUUUUGAAUGUUCCAAUUUAAAUAAAGGUGUCUGGACACUCAAAGAGGUUUUAGAGAGCAAUCUUUAUUGAGUCAAAGCAACAUUUUGGCUCUUUGGCUCUUUGCUGGAGUCUUUAUCAAGCAUGCUAAAAGCUCUUUGUGUGCCCAGACAGAUUUUCUUUUUAAAUUGAAGCUUUGCUUUUGAGUCUCACUAGGCUGGUACUCCUAAACAUGGGGGUUCCCCUCCUGUAUUUAGAUAUCAUAGUCUUAUGAAUGUUAUGAGACAAGAAUAAGAGAAUCGCAAGACAUAAUAUUCAUGUAGAUUAUUACAGGAAAAUUGCAAGCACCAUAGCCAUUCCAGCAUGCUGUAGUGGUUAUAGUACCAGGAUUGCUCUGACGCCCCCUCAAUGCAAUCCGCCAAACUGUGUGCUGAUGUUUUUACAUCUUACCUGGGGUCCUGCUGGAUGCUAGACUCUCUGCUAGCGGUUUCUGUUUGCUCUUCUGAGCUAAGCUCUGCGGUGCAGGGCCAGCUAAUUGGCUGUGAGCAUCAGCUGAUCACUCUCAGCCACUGGGCUAAAUCCUGGACUGCUUUGCCUAGAUCCGUGAAAAGAGCCUACAAACGCAUAGAGGCCAGGAACAGCACCAUCAGACCACAGGUAAGAAGUCAAAUUGUUAUCUAAUGGUUUGACUAGUUGCAUCGGGUGGCACCAGGGCACUCCUAGUACCAUAACCACUACAGUAACCUGUAUUUGUUAUGGUGCUUGGUGUAGCCCUUUAAUGGAUAAAUACCUAAAAGCUUCUAAAAACUAAUCAGACAGAUUAAAUGGCAAUCAGUAUAACAUAGAUAUAAUACCUCACAUGCAUUAUUCACACCUGCGUCAGUCAUUGUUACUUAUAUUACCACUGACAUCUAAGCCAAUAAUAGUCAGUUUCUGGCAGUUUCAUUGUGGUGGACUGUAACUCCUAGGAUGCUUACACCGGAUCAUAUCGUCACAUUGCUUUUAUUUUAAUACUACCUGUUGUUAGAUGUUUUAGUGGUAAAGAGAAAGAAAUAUUGAAAAUGUAAAACAGAUUUAUUUGAAGGACAAACUAGUUAUUGGACAAUGUUCUACGUGUGAAACAAUCACCAUAGAAACUGACUGACUAUACAUAAUGAAUCCUUAAAUAUUGUAACAAUGUCCUAGUAUUGCUCUUCAUGUACAAUCCUUACAUUCCCCAAUAAUGAAACUAUUAGAUCAAGAUUGUACGUAUUGUACCACAUCUUAACUAAAUGACCAGAAUGUACUUGCAUAAAUAGCCCUUUAUACACUAAGAUUCUUACCGAAGAUUCUUCUUGUGUUUCAAUAUAUAUAUAAUGUCUCCCAUAUUAAAUAUGUUUUAUUAAUAUUUUAAGUGCUUUCUCUGCAUGCAUACAAACUUAGUGAUAAAUGUAAUUGAAAAGUAAUUGUGUGGAUAAUUAUGUUCUAUUUUGUGUUUGUCUAGCAACCAACGUGAUUUUAGUUUGAUGUCUAGUCGAGUUACAUUUUAGCACCAUUCUAUGUUCUAUUAUGGCACAUUCUAAACAAAAUUUGAGGUAUCAGGCAUAAUAUUUGAGGUCAUGUUUCAGUUGUACACGUUACAUCUCUAGCAAGUGCUUGGGAUAUAUCAUCCUCGUGUAGCUCAUGUGUAUCAUCUGAAAAGUUGUCACUUUCUCAACCCUUUGAAGCUCCUUUAAAUAACAUAUAUUGCCUCAUCGAGGAAACAUAUAUAGUUAUUCUAAUGAAUUAAUAAAGUACAUUAAUUGGCUUAUGAAUUGUGGGGAAUAAAUAUGCAGUAUGACAUGGAAUCUGUGGGUACAUUCCACUUGUUUCUAUGGUGAUUGCUCUUAAUUUAGAACUUUGCCCACUUUGUAUUAGUUAAAUAAAUAUAAAUCACUUUUAAUGUACUAUACUUUGAUGGACUCAAAAGUCCUACAAGAGCACAGUGGUAUUUAAUUAAUGAAUUUAUUUUAAAUGCACCAAUCACCAGAAGGAAUCUAAAUAGUGUUAGGACGUGCAUUAAUACAACAAAAAUGAAGCAAUGAUUAUAGCUACCUCAAGGGAAAUUAUAUAAUAGAAAAAAAGCAUGUUAAUGGAAAAAAGGAAUGCUCUCUGGCCUGAAGAAUUAAUUAUGAAAAUAUAAAAUGAUCUUGGAAUUGUUGUUUUUUUCUGUUAUAGUCUUAUUGUUUGUAUAAAAGGAAUUAAGCACCACCAUUACCAAAUUUAAAUAUGUUUAUGGUUACAUGGCUAAUGAUCACUGAUUUGCAAUUUUUAGAAUUAAUUUGUGAAAGCUAUGCUAAGAUCCUGACUUAUCCAUGCCAUACCAAAAGCAUGUUCAUAUUAUUUUUUUUAAAUUCUGUCAUUGAUGGAGUGAGCAUAUUUCAGAAGUAAAACAUUUUUCAAGACUGUCCAAGUUUCAGCACUGUACUACAGUAAUCGUUGUUUUUAUUUGCUUUUUGACUGUUAAAAAACAGUCAAAAAGUAAAUCUAACUUUGUCGCAAAAAGUUUUGUGAAUUGUAAAUGCUGUAACAUCUAAUAAUAUCUUUGUACAUGCAGCAGCUACAUAUCAUAUCUCAAAAUUAAAUUUUUUAUUUUAUAUGUAUUGUGAAUUAUUUUCCCUCCACAUGCAGAAAGUUGGCCAUAAUUAUGCUUACAGUACGUGCUUCCUCGAUAUGGAACAAAGUUGCAUUUUAUAAACAGGAAAUGCAUCCUAGUGGCACUGUCACUUCCUGUCAGAGGUGAAGAGACUACCGCAGUAAGGCAAUCAUCACAGUAACAUCCUGAAAACAGAAAACUUGAAGAAAAAGGACUUAUAGCACCCUUAAUGGAAACAUAAUACCUUACAAGACAAAUCUUAUGAUAUAUAUAUUUUUUUUAAUCAUGUGGGUUAUUUUGUGAUUUAGGAAUAUUUCGGAAACGGAUUAAUAUGUACAAUGUAACAUUUCCAGUUUAAGGUAUCUGCAUUUUUAUGCAAAGUUUCCCUCAAGUGGACAUGUCCACUGUUAUGGCGGCACCCAGGGGACAGUCGGUAGGUAGAUAAAAUUAAGUGAACUUCUCCCUCCUUGGCAAUGCCAUCUUUCUCUCUAGUCUGCCAGGAGUCCACAUCUCUUGUGCAUUCUCACACAUUAAAAAAUAGAAAACCCAGAAUACAAUAAGAUUGUGGGCUAUUUCUCGGGUCAUUUUGCACAUGUACACUGAGAUGCCAUCAUGAGCAACCUGCCUUAAUAUCAUCCCUUUGCCAUCGUUUGCCAAAAAAAAAAAAAUGUACUAUACCUCAUAUAUAUAUUUUCUAAUUUUGUUGGAAUGUCAAUGAAUUUCCAAUGCAGUCUUUUUUCCCAUUAUAAAUGCAUUGCUAUUAAAUAUUAAAAAGUGACAGUGCUGCUUUUAGUGAUUUCCACACAAACACACACAGUAGUAUGUACCUCAGCUUCUUGAAAACAGGAACCUUUUACUCUGUCAGACAAGCAUAAAUCAGACGUUGGUAGGUUUUCCAUUUGGUUUGAAAUAUUGCCAAUGGGGAGAAAAAUGUGGAAAUCAGUUACUUUUUUAACUAGUUUACAACAUAAUAAUUUGUCUAUCCCCUGUCAUUAAAUAGUUUGUAUAAAUUUAAAUAAUUUAUGUCUGUAUGUGGGCUGUUUAUUAGUAUGUGACUUUUUGUUUAUUUAGUUUCAUAUUGUGUAUGAUGUUCAUUUUCGUCACAGUGAACUAUGGUCUCCUGAAUUCUUGAAAAACAAAUGAUACAGUCAUUCAUAUGUUAAAUCAUAAAAAUGCCAAAUGAUAUACUAACCUCCAUGUCGUAAUAACAAAACUUGGUUGCAUUUAUAGAAGUGUUAUAUUUAGGUAGUAUGCUAUUUCAGACUGUUUAUCACUAAACAUGAAAUGUAAAAUAAAACAUGGAGGUUUU